rnacentral:misc_RNA from 1 species
GGGGGGCCUUGUGCCCCCGGGCCCGCGCCCGCCGAAGACCCCUCAAACGCUGCCCUGAAGGUUGCCGUCUGAGUAUAAAAUCAAUCAUUAAAACUUUCAACAACGGAUCUCUUGGUUCCGGCAUCGAUGAAGAACGCAUCGAAAUGCGAUAAGUAAUGUGAAUUGCAUAAUUCCUUGAAUCAUCGAAUCUUUGAACGCACAUUGCGCCCCCUGGCAUUCCGGGGGGCAUGCCUGUCCGAGCGUCAUUGCUAACCCUCCAGCCCGGCUGGUGUGUUGGGUCGGCGUCCCCCCCGGGGGACGGGCCCGAAAGGCAGCGGCGGCGCCGCGUCCGAUCCUCGAGCGUAUGGGGCUUUGUCACGCGCUCUGGUAGGGUCGGCCGGCUGGCCAGCCAGCGACCUCACGGUCACCUAUUUUUUCUCUUAGGUUGACCUCGGAUCAGGUAGGGAUACCCGCUGAACUUAAGCAUAUCAAUAA